GACGAACGCUGGCGGCGUGCUUAACACAUGCAAGUCGAACGGAAAGGCCCUGCUUUUGUGGGGUGCUCGAGUGGCGAACGGGUGAGUAACACGUGAGUAACCUGCCCUUGACUUUGGGAUAACGUCAGGAAACUGGGGCUAAUACCGGAUAGGAGCUCCUGCUGCCUGGUGGGGGUUGGAAAGUGUCGGCGGUUGGGGAUGGACUCGCGGCUUAUGAGCUUGUUGGUGGGGGAGUGACUUACCAAGGCUUUGACGGGUAGUCGGCCUGAGAGGGUGACCGGUCACAUUGGGCCUGGGCUACGGCCCAGACUCGUACGGGGGGAAGCAGUGGGGAAUGUUGAAGAAUGGGGGGAAGCCGGCUGCAGAAACGCCGAGUGCGGGAUGACGGGCUUCGGGUUGGAUACUGGUUACGCCUCUAACGUAGCGUGAGUGACGGUAAUGGGUAAAGAAGCGCCGGCUAACUACGUG
rnacentral:rRNA from 1 species